rnacentral:tRNA from 1 species
ACGGGAGUCAGCCGGCCGCCGGAAGGGUGAACUCGUAGACCAGCGCGUCCUGCCGGGCGUCCAGGAGGAGGUCCG